rnacentral:rRNA from 1 species
UACGUAGGGUGCAAGCGUUGUCCGGAAUUAUUGGGCGUAAAGAGCUCGUAGGCGGUUUGUCGCGUCUGCUGUGAAACCGAGGCUCAACCUCGGGCCUGCAGUGGGUACGGGCAGACUAGAGUGGCGGUAAGGGGAGAAUGGAAUUCCUGGUGUAGCGGUGGAAUGCGCAGAUAUCAGGAGGAACACCGAUGGCGAAGGCAGUUCGUCUGGCCGUUACUGACGCUGAGGAGACGAAAGCGUGGGGAGCGAACAGG